GAUCCCGUAGCUCAGCAGGGAGAGCGCCACCUUGUCAGAGUGAAGGUCGCUGGUUAGAAGCCAAUCGGGAUCA
rnacentral:tRNA from 1 species